UGUGCAGGAGAGAGUUCUCAUCCAGAAACAUCCUAGAGAGUGCCAGAAAGGGGGACAAAAAGAGAAGCUACCUGCCUCUGGAUACAGGAAGAAGGCAGAUAGUGAAACUCAGAGAAGAAUCCCAAGGCAUCCUUUGCAGUGUUUAUUGCUUGUGAGAGCAGGCUGAGAGUUAUUCCUUGCUGUGCUUCCAGAGCAGGAGCAUUUGGUGCUUUGAUGCUGGGACAGAAGAGGUGUGCAAGGAAACAGAGUCAGCAGCUGAAGUGCAUAGCCAGGAGUCAGUUCCCUGUACCUGGCCUCUAAACACUGGGAGGACGUGGCUACAGGAGUCAUGGAGUGAGAGAAUGGAGGAAUCUGGGCACAUCAGCUGUCUGGCCUGGAAGCAGCUGGCGGCUUUUCAAAUACACGGACGUCUUUCCAGUUUUCGAAGAAGCCGUGUGUGGGUUGGAAGGAGAGCAGACUGCCUCUGACUGAUAGAUGAGCUUCGGAAAUUCUGCCCUUGUUUUUAGAUAUUUUCAAAUAUUUGG